rnacentral:rRNA from 1 species
AACGAACGCUGGCGGCAGGCUUAACACAUGCAAGUCGAACGCCCCGCAAGGGGAGUGGCAGACGGGUGAGUAACGCGUGGGAAUCUACCCAGUUCUACGGAACAACAGUUGGAAACGACUGCUAAUACCGUAUACGCCCUAAGGGGAAAGAUUUAUCGGAAUUGGAUGAGCCCGCGUUGGAUUAGCUAGUUGGUGGGUAAUGGCCUACCAAGGCGACGAUCCAUAGCUGGUCUGAGAGGAUGAUCAGCCACACUGGGACUGAGACACGGCCCAGACUCCUACGGGAGGCAGCAGUGGGGAAUUAUUGGACAAUGGGCGCAAGCCUGAUCCAGCCAUGCCGCGUGAGUGAUGAAGGCCUUAGGGUUGUAAAGCUCUUUCAGUAGGGAAGAUAAU